rnacentral:rRNA from 1 species
CCCUUCGGGGAGUGCAUAAAGUGGCGCACGGGUGAGUAACACGUAAGUAAUCUACCUUCGAGUGGGGAAUAACCCGGGGAAACCCGAGCUAAUACCGCAUAAUGCAGCGGCAUCGCAAGAUGACAGUUGUUAAAGGAGCAAUCCGCUUGAAGAGGAGCUUGCGGCAGAUUAGCUAGUUGGUAAGGUAAUGGCUUACCAAGGCUACGAUCUGUAUCCGGUCUAAGAGGACGGUCGGACACACUGACACUGAAUAACGGGUCAGACUCCUACGGGAGGCAGCAGUCGGGAAUUUUGGGCAAUGGGCGAAAGCCUGACCCAGCAACGCCGCGUGAAGGAUGAAGUAUUUCGGUAUGUAAACUUCGAAAGAAUGGGAAGAAUAAAUGACGGUACCAUUUAUAAGCUCCGGCUAACUACGUGCCAGCAGCCGCGGUAAUACGUAGGGAGCAAGCGUUGUUCGGAUUUACUGGGCGUAAAGGGCGCGUAGGCGGCGCGGUAAGUCACCUGUGAAAUCUCUGAG